rnacentral:rRNA from 1 species
UACAGAGGGGGCAAGCGUUAUUCGGAAUUAUUGGGCGUAAAGGGCGCGUAGGCGGCCUGACAAGUGGAAGGUGAAAUCCCUCGGCUCAACUGAGGAACUGCCCUCCAAACUGUUUGGCUUGAGACCGGGAGAGGUGAGUGGAAUUCCCAGUGUAGCGGUGAAAUGCGCAGAUAUCAGGAGGAACACCGGCGGCGAAGGCGGCCCUCUGGAUCGUUGCUGACGCUGAGACGCGAAAGCGUGGGGAGCAAACAGG